rnacentral:rRNA from 1 species
CCUACGGGAGGCAGCAGUGGGGAAUAUUGGACAAUGGGCGAAAGCCUGAUCCAGCAAUGCCGCGUGAGUGAUGAAGGCCUUAGGGUUGUAAAGCUCUUUUACCAGGGAUGAUAAUGACAGUACCUGGAGAAUAAGCUCCGGCUAACUCCGUGCCAGCAGCCGCGGUAAUACGGAGGGAGCUAGCGUUGUUCGGAAUUACUGGGCGUAAAGCGUACGUAGGCGGUUAUUCAAGUCAGAGGUGAAAGCCUGGAGCUCAACUCCAGAACUGCCUUUGAAACUAGAUAGCUAGAAUCUUGGAGAGGUGAGUGGAAUUCCGAGUGUAGAGGUGAAAUUCGUAGAUAUUCGGAAGAACACCAGUGGCGAAGGCGACUCACUGGACAAGUAUUGACGCUGAGGUACGAAAGCGUGGGGAGCAAACAGGAUUAGAUACCCUGGUAGUCCACGCCGUAAACGAUGAUAACUAGCUGUUCGGGCUCUACGAGCUUGAGUGGCGCAGCUAACGCAUUAAGUUAUCCGCCUGGGGAGUACGGUCGCAAGAUUAAAACUUAAAAUGAAUUGACGG